rnacentral:rRNA from 1 species
UACGUAGGGUGCAAGCGUUGUCCGGAAUUAUUGGGCGUAAAGAGCUCGUAGGCGGUUUGUCGCGUCUGCUGUGAAAACUCAGGGCUUAACCCUGAGCUUGCAGUGGGUACGGGCAGACUAGAGUGCGGUAGGGGGAGACUGGAAUUCCUGGUGUAGCGGUGAAAUGCGCAGAUAUCAGGAGGAACACCGAUGGCGAAGGCAGGUCUCUGGGCCACUACUGACGCU